UUUCUUUUCUUUUCUUUUCUUUUCUUUUCUUUUCUUUUCUUUUCUUUUCUUUUCUUUUCGACACAGAGGGCUGCUGGCGUCUUGUAUCUCCCAGGGCUUCCUGUCUGGGAGCACAGACAUAGCUCAGCCUUCUGUAAUUUAUGCUGAGGGGCAGAGCAGGAGAGUUAUGAGUAAAGACUUUGGAACUGGACAAAACCUUUCUGGCCUGUCUGUGUCGCAACAGCUGUUCUUCUUGUGUCCCCCUUUCCUGGGUUGUAAAAUGGGGAUAAUAAUAGUACCACCCUCAGAUGGCGUUCAUAAGCACCCAGUGAGGUCAUGUUAAGCCUGUUAGAAAGCUACCCAUAAACGGCUGCUGUGGCCAUGGCUCCUUCUUAGAACUUGCGAGUUCCCCUGCCUGGAAGCGGUAGCCACUGGACUUGGUAAUUUUUCUGUCCCAUUGAAAAAGGCCCCUACUUUUCAAAGGGAGGAAGAGGAAAUUGUCGAUCUUGAGACACGAGGGACAUUGAUAAUGAAAGUUACAGCCCAUGGCCUCAGGUUUGGGGGAGGGGAGAAGCCACCUGACUCCGGAUUUUAAAAGGAGCUGAUGGGGAUUCAGAAGUCAAGGGCCACAGGCUCUACUCAGGGAAAACUCACUCUGGGGGACCUCGGACAGGUCACUUUCAGCCUGGGACUUCAGUUUCCUCGGGCGAGUCAGGUGGGUUUCUCAGCUUUGCUUAGGUAGUUAGGAGCACGCGGUGUGGGUUGCCGGCUUUGAGAACGUGGCUGAGCAGCGAGGCUCCGCCAGCCGAGAUGGGCAGGCGCGUGCAGGGAUUGGCUGGAGGCGCAGGCCCGAACCUUUAAGAGGCGCGGAGGGGACGUGCUAGGGAGUUUUCAUCGCCGGCGUUCCUGGUUUGCUAAGUGCUAGCGAACGUAGUAGUGGCUGGGGCUGCGCCUAGGAUCGGAGCCACAGGCGAGUGCCGGCCGGCAGAACACAAGAGCAUCCCGGCGUCCCGGUCCCACGCGGCGUGGCCCGCGGGUCAUGGCCAAAGGAGAAGGCGCCGAGAGCGGUUCCGCGGCGGGGCUGCUCCCCACCAGCAUCCUCCAAGCCAGUGAACGGCCGGUCCAGGUGAAGAAGGAACCAAAAAAGAAGCAGCAACUGUCCAUUUGCAACAAGCUUUGCUAUGCAGUUGGAGGGGCCCCGUACCAGUUGACCGGCUGCGCACUGGGAUUCUUCCUGCAGAUCUACCUAUUGGAUGUGGCUAAGGUGGAACCACUUCCUGCUUCCAUUAUCCUUUUUGUGGGCCGAGCCUGGGAUGCCUUCACUGACCCUCUGGUGGGCUUCUGCAUUAGCAAGUCCUCCUGGACCCGCCUGGGCCGCCUCAUGCCCUGGAUCAUCUUCUCCACUCCCCUGGCCAUCAUUGCUUACUUCCUCAUCUGGUUUGUGCCUGACUUCCCAUCAGGGACGGAAAGUUCACACGGCUUCCUUUGGUACCUGCUUUUCUAUUGCCUCUUUGAGACACUGGUCACGUGCUUUCAUGUUCCCUACUCAGCGCUCACCAUGUUCAUCAGCACGGAGCAGAGUGAGCGUGACUCAGCCACGGCAUACAGAAUGACUGUGGAGGUGCUGGGCACAGUGAUAGGCACAGCGAUUCAAGGACAAAUUGUGGGCCAAGCCAAGGCACCUUGUCUCCAGGACCAGAAUGGCUCUGUGGUGGUCUCAGAAGUUGCCAAUCGCACCCAGAGUACUGCCUCCCUCAAAGACACGCAAAAUGCUUACCUGCUGGCAGCAGGGAUCAUCGCCUCCAUCUACGUCCUCUGUGCCUUCAUUCUGAUCCUAGGCGUGCGGGAGCAGAGAGAACUCUACGAGUCCCAGCAGGCUGAGUCAAUGCCCUUCUUUCAGGGCCUCCGGCUGGUCAUGGGUCAUGGCCCCUAUGUCAAGCUCAUUGCCGGCUUCCUUUUUACCUCCCUGGCUUUCAUGCUGGUGGAGGGUAACUUUGCCUUGUUCUGCACCUAUACCUUGGACUUCCGAAAUGAGUUCCAGAACCUCCUCCUGGCCAUCAUGCUCUCGGCCACAUUCACCAUCCCUAUCUGGCAGUGGUUCCUAACCCGGUUUGGCAAGAAGACAGCUGUAUACAUCGGGAUCUCUUCUGCAGUUCCUUUUCUCAUCUUGGUGGCCCUCAUGGAGCGUAAUCUAAUCGUCACUUACGUGGUGGCCGUAGCAGCUGGCGUCAGUGUAGCAGCUGCCUUCCUACUACCAUGGUCCAUGCUGCCUGACGUUAUCGAUGACUUCCACCUGAAACACCCUCACUCCCCUGGCACCGAGCCCAUAUUCUUCUCCUUCUAUGUCUUCUUCACCAAGUUUGCCUCUGGAGUCUCACUGGGUGUCUCUACCCUCAGUCUCGAGUGAGUGGCCUCUUUGCCAACUACCAGAGGCAGGGAUGCUCCCAGCCAGAACAGGUCAAGUUUACACUGAAGAUGCUGGUGACCAUGGCUCCUAUCAUCCUCAUCUUGCUGGGCCUGCUGCUCUUCAAGCUCUACCCCAUUGAUGAGGAGAAGCGGCGACAGAAUAAGAAAGCUCUGCAGGCUCUACGAGAAGAAGCCAGCAGCUCAGGUUGCUCGGAUACAGACUCCACAGAGCUGGCCAGUAUUCUCUAGGACUUGCCAGGGUGCCUGAAGCCACCACACAAAGGACCUGGGGCACCAGGUAGCAUUAAGCACGGGAUCUCUUUGCCCUUGCACUGAGCAGCUGUUCUUCCUAUGUCAAGACAGGGACCAAGGAGUGGAGGGUGAGCGGACCAGGACAUCUGUGCUCACUGCAAGGCUGACCGCUCUGUCACCUCCUCACUGCCUGCCCACUGGGCCAAGCCUUAGGGCUGCUACUGUGAAUAUGCCAAGGACUGACUGGGCCUAGCUCGGAACACUAAUGUAGAAACGUUUUAUACAGAGACUAAUUAAUAACUUAAUGACUAUGUAUAUAGUGAUGUGUGUAUGUAUGUGUCUAUGAGGUAUUAAUGUUAUUAAUUUUCAUAAAAACUGGAAACACAAA